rnacentral:misc_RNA from 1 species
GAUGAAGAACGCAGCGAAAUGCGAUAAGUAGUGUGAAUUGCAGAAUUCAGUGAAUCGUCGAAUCUUUGAACGCACAUUGCGCCCCUUGGUAUUCCAUGGGGCAUGCCUGUUCGAGCGUCAUUUGUACCUUCAAGCUCUGCUUGGUGUUGGGUGUUUGUCUCGCCUCUGCGUGUAGACUCGCCUCAAAACAAUUGGCAGCCGGCGUAUUGAUUUCGGAGCGCAGUACAUCUCGCGCUUUGCACUCAUAACGACGACGUCCAAAAGUACAUUUUUACACUCUUGACCUCGGAUCAGGUAGGGAUACCCGCUGAACUUAAGCAUAUCAAUAAGCGGAGGA